rnacentral:rRNA from 1 species
AUGACGGUACUUCAAGAAUAAGGGACGGCUAACUACGUGCCAGCAGCCGCGGUAAUACGUAGGUCUCAAGCGUUAUCCGGAUUUACUGGGCGUAAAGUGUCCGUAGUCUGAUCUGUAAGUCUGUUUUCAAAUCCUACGACUCAAUCGUAGAAAGGGAGUGGAUACUGCAGAUCUAGAAGUAUCUAGGGGUUAGUGGAAUUUCCGGUGGAGCGGUGAAAUGCGUUGAUAUCGGAAGGAACGCCGAAAGCGAAAGCAGCUAACUAUAGAAUACUUGACGAUGAGGGACGACAGUUUGGGGAGCAAACAGGAUUAGAUACCCUGGUAGUCCAAACCGUAAAUUAUGCUUGCUAGAUGUUUUUAUCAGUUUACUGGUAGGAGUGUCGUAAUCUAACGAGUUAAGCAAGCCGCCUGGGUAGUAUAUUCGCAAGAAUGAAACUCAAAGGGAUAGGCGGGGGAACACACAAGCAGUGGAUUAUCUAGAUUAAUUGGAUAAUAAGCCAAGAAUCUUACCUAGGAUUGACAUGUAUUGUGUCUCAGGUGAAAGCCUGAUAUCCGUAGCAAUACGGAGCUUUACACAGGUGGUGCAUGGUCGUCGUCAGCUCGUGCCGCAAGGUGUCUAGUUAAGUCUGGAAACGAGCGCAACCCUCGUGUUUAGUUAGUAUGUCUAAACAGACUGCUCGGGUAACCGAGAGGAAGGAGAGGAUGACGUCAGAUCCUCAUGCCCCUUACACCUAGGGCCUCAUAGAUAAUACAAUGGGUAGGUACAGCGAGAAGCGAAGCCGCGAGGUGGAGCAAAUCUUUAAAACUGCCCUUAGUUCGGAUUGUACUCUGGAACUCGAGUACAUGAAGUUGGAAUUGCUAGUAAUGGCAGAUCAGCCAUGCUGCCGUGAAUACGUCCCUGUUCCUUGCACUCACCGCCCGUCAAACCAUGGGAGCUGAGGCUCUUUGAAGACUCAUUAUAUGGGUUAAGGAGGGAAUCAGUGACUGGGGUUAAGUCGUAACAAGGCAUCCCUACCGGAAGGUGGGGAUA